GAUGAACGCUGGCGGCGUGCCUAAUACAUGCAAGUCGAGCGAACGGACGAGAAGCUUGCUUCUUUGAUGUUAGAGGCGGACGGGUGAGUAACACGUGGAUAACCUACCUAUAAGACUGGGAUAACUUCGGGAAACCGGAGCUAAUACCGGAUAAUAUUUUGAACCGCAUGGUUCAAAAGUGAAAGACGGUCUUGCUGUCACUUAUAGAUGGAUCCGCGCUGCAUUAGCUAGUUGGUAAGGUAACGGCUUACCAAGGCAACGAUGCAUAGCCGACCUGAGAGGGUGAUCGGCCACACUGGAACUGAGACACGGUCCAGACUCCUACGGGAGGCAGCAGUAGGGAAUCUUCCGCAAUGGGCGAAAGCCUGACGGAGCAACGCCGCGUGAGUGAUGAAGGUCUUCGGAUCGUAAAACUCUGUUAUUAGGGAAGAACAUAUGUGUAAGUAACUGUGCACAUCUUGACGGUACCUAAUCAGAAAGCCACGGCUAACUACGUG
rnacentral:rRNA from 1 species